AACGGGUCUCUCAGUCUCAGCGAAUUGAGCCAGUUAUUAUUCAAGAAACGAGCGAACACCACGGUGUACCUGCGUACGAGAACAAUAGUAGUGUAUUUUCAUUUACGAUCCAAGUCUUGGGAGAACUGUGUGCGAGAACUGCAGUAGACAUUCUCAAGCAGGGAUUAACCUGUAUGAAGAGAUCAGAAAAUGGAACUCUUCCAUUCCCAGGUUGUUCAGUGAUAGUUAUUAAAAGGCGAGCCACUUCAGUUGUUCAAGAACUAACGUUCAUUGCUUCUACUUAGGUUUUGAGGUGAGAAUGGGUUGUCUGGAGGGUGCCAACUUAUAAUACGUUCCCUUAAGUUGUCAUUCAUGCAUUAGUAUUUUAAAGGUGUAAAUGCUAAUGUUCCAUUGUAAUGAUGGACGUUUUUACCUCUCUCUAUUAAAAGUAAUUGAAAACUUUUGCAAUAUACUCUAAAAUA